ensembl:lincRNA
AGACAUGAAUAUUGAUUUUAAUUAAACACUAUAAGGUAAACGGGAGGAUGUAAACAGGUAAGUAUUUUUGGUUGCGGAUGCGAGAGAUACUACAUUCGGGUUCCGUGAGGAUUCCCACGGCUUCCAUUGCAGGGAACCCCUAAGGGCCAGGCACCGAGGUACGCAUCACACACGCCGGGUCUCUUCAUCCUACCGCAGGCCGGGGUUGGUGGGUUAAGGGGCGUUCACUCUGCAGGGCCGAAGCUCCGCGAAACAUUAAGAACCGGUCGCUCGCUCGGCAGCACCUUCGCGACCCUGUCUUCCACGCCUUAUCUUCCAACGGUGCCCGCGACGAGCUCCCACUGAAAAGAAUCUGACCAUCCAGCGGAGGCAUGUCUACGACUGCACCCAAGCCUUCUUCCAGCCUUUCAAACCCUGCAUUGGCUGUUGGCUUAUUGUUUUUGAGUUAUGGAGAGGGGCAUGCGGGUAGGCGGAGCUGGAGCGCAACGUGGAGGCCUCCAUUAAGGCUGCAUUUUCAAUGCGGCUUAGAAAUCUUUGAAGCUCUGGGCAGCAGAUAUGAGCGGUGUGUGGGAGAUGGUGGGCUUUGCAGAGGGAAGGAUGGGGGUCUAAGGCCAGGGCCUGAGAAUGAGGACAUUCGGGCUCUGGGCCGUUAACGGCCUGUCUGGGCUGCGACUACAGUUCCCAGAGUUCAUCGAGUCCGCGUCAACUUCCUUCGGGUGCACCGGCUGCCUCUGGACAGUAGGCGGAAUCGCGCUCGGAUCUCCGCGGUUUUUUCUGCUCCCUCGGGAGACUGCGGGGUGGGUGGGGGCAUCUGGGAUCCGGAAGCGGAGCGACCCGAGAGGGGCCGAGGCUGCAGGCUUUUCACUGAGUGAGGAGGAUGGACGGAUGAUGCAAGAAAACAGAAGGAAACCAGAGAGUGCUGGACCUGGAGGUUAAUGGGAUUGCCAUUGCAGCUGGACUAAGAACUCUGUGCACAGUCUGCUUGUGCCACAGUAGAGACCACUCAAGCUACAUAUACCAGUCAUCUCACCGAAUGUCUCUGGUAAAUCUAAUCCGGGUUAUUUUGUCCUUAAAUUGCCUUUAGUUCUGUGUUGUGGCCCUGCUUGAGUGUUUUAGAUGGAAAUAAGUUUUAGAUGGAAAUAAGAGUAUUGGAUAUGGAGGAAAUGAGAGGCUACUGUCAAGAAAAUACAAAAGAGAGCCCUGGGCAGAUACAUUGGGCUUCCAGGUAGAGAGUUUCAUUGUCUUUGUGUGACUUGAGGUUCAUCCAGUUGUAGGAGAUAUGCUGCCCAAGGCUAGUCAGAAUGGCUGUAUCUCAUAUCCUGACCCAUGUCAUGAUCUUAGCAUAACUGACUGAACUGAAAUGCAGUCUGUUGCAGUUUGGUCCCUCAGGUUUUAGACAGAGGCAGGAUUUCUUUAGACUCCCUCUGAACCUCUCUCCAGGGAUAAAAAAUGCCAUUCUCAGUCCAUUUGAAAGCUCUAAGGAAAGCCUGACUUCUCAAAUAUUUUCCUAUAGCUCUGCCUUUUCAGGACCUUAUCUUGCCAGGAGAGAAUCCAGAAGAGGACCGAUCAGUUCUUCGAAUUUUAAGUCAUGGCCCAUGUGAGUUGGAAUUGCCUUUUUUCAAAAAUAUAACCAUUUUUAUCACAUUCUUUAAUCCUUAACCUGUUAUCUAAGUCAGUAUUCUCUGUGGUAAGUGAUGAUAGUGAAAAAGUCCAGUGCAAUCCUUGGUGCUCCCUCUUCUCUCCAAAUAUGGUCACACAGGGUAUUCACUAUAUCUUUUAUCCUAAGUCUUUGGCUAAAGCAAUGAUGGAAAAAAAAAUGCACUUUCUUAAGGGAAAUAGUAAAGACUUCCUUUUCAAAACUUUGUCUUAAAGUAGAAAUGAAUGGUUAAAGGGGACACACACAUAUGAAAGCUUUUAUUUACACUAUCAAAUGGGUUUUUUAAAUUGGGUAAGGUAUGACUUGGUGUUAGUUGAUACUCAUCUCAGUUUGUGGCACUUUAGGAGGCUUUUAGUUGGGAUAUGGAGAGUUGAGUUCAGAGAGAUCGGAGAUUUUGUCAGGGAAUCAGUAAAAGAUUAAUAUCAUUACCAAGGCAAGUGUCAGCUACUUAGCCAAGAGCUUAGAGAUCCUACACUUUCUUCAUAGGAAGUAGUAUUCAGUUUGGGAGUGGGUCUAAAGAAUUAUUUCAAGUUCAACUAACAAGAAAUUCAACUGAAAGUAGUUUAAGCAAACCACAAACAACCACAACAAAAAAUUACUUUAUUCACUUAAUUAGAAAAUUCCAGGCUGGUGUAGCCUUUUAGUGGUAUCAGCAAAUAACUCAUAUGAUAUUUUUCAUUCUGACUGCUAUCCUCCCGGUUUAGUGUUUGUCACCUGAAGGUCAUAAGGAUGUUGUGACUGGAGCAACAGGAACUUUUAAGAACAUAUAGGCACUCAACUUUAGUCACACUGAUUUCCAUAGCAUAUUUUCCAUGUCACAGUCAGUUAGCUCUAGUACAUUUGCUCAGUGUAUGUCCCACAUCCUGUAGUGCCCUUUUGCAUCAUCUCCCUUUCCAUCUGAAAGGUUUCUUUUAAUUUCACCAUUAAUACUUGGGGUUGUCAUUUCAGGGCUUGGUGAUGUUCAAGGAUGUGACUGUAGAGUUCUCUCAGGAGGAGUGGGAAUGCCUAGACUUAGAACAGAGGGAUUUGUACAGAGAUGUUAUGUUGGAGAACUACAGCAACAUGGUCUCACUAGGUAAGAGUAUCUCCUCCCAAGUGAUUGAGAAUUUGACCCCAGAAAUUCAUGCUUUCUAGAGUACAUUUUUU